rnacentral:rRNA from 1 species
GACGAACGCUGGCGGCGUGCCUAAUACAUGCAAGUAGAACGCGGAAGGAGGAGCUUGCUUCUCUGGAUGAGUUGCGAACGGGUGAGUAACGCGUAGGUAACCUGCCUGGUAGCGGGGGAUAACUCUUGGACACGAUAGCUAAUACCGCAUAAGAGUAGACGUUGCAUGACAUUCGCUUAAAAGGUGCACUUGCAUCACUACCAGAUGCACAUGCGUUGUAUUAGCUAGUUGGUGUGGUAACGGCUCAUCAAGGCGACGAUACAUAGCCGACCUGAGAGGGUGAUCGGCCACGCUGGGCAGGAGACGCGGCCCAGCACCCUGGGGGAGAGACACGGCGGGGAUCCUGAGCGAUGGAAGGAAGUCUGACCAAGCGACGCCGCGAGAGAGCAGGAGGUUGUCGGAUCGAAAAGGUCUGGUAUGACAGAAGAACGAGUGUGAGAGUUGAACGUUCACACUGUGACGGUACCGGGACAAAAAGCGACGGCUAACUACGUG